AUUGAACGCUGGCGGAAUGCUUUACACAUGCAAGUCGAGCGGCAGCGCGGGGCAACCUGGCGGCGAGCGGCGAACGGGUGAGUAAUACAUCGGAACGUGCCCAGACGUGGGGGAUAACUACUCGAAAGAGUGGCUAAUACCGCAUACGAUCUAAGGAUGAAAGCGGGGGAUCGCAAGACCUCGCGCGUUUGGAGCGGCCGAUGGCAGAUUAGGUAGUUGGUGGGGUAAAGGCUUACCAAGCCCGCGAUCUGUAGCUGGUCUGAGAGGAUGAUCAGCCACACUGGGACUGAGACACGGCCCAGACUCCUACGGGAGGCAGCAGUGGGGAAUUUUGGACAAUGGGCGAAAGCCUGAUCCAGCCAUUCCGCGUGCAGGAUGAAGGCCCUCGGGUUGUAAACUGCUUUUAUACAGAACGAAAAAGCUCUUUCUAAUACAGAGAGUCCAUGACGGUACUGUAAGAAUAAGCACCGGCUAACUACGUGCCAGCAGCCGCGG
rnacentral:rRNA from 1 species